rnacentral:rRNA from 1 species
UCCAGACUCCUACGGGAGGCAGCAGUGGGGAAUAUUGCACAAUGGGGGGAACCCUGAUGCAGCAACGCCGCGUGGGUGAAGAAGUACUUCGGUAUGUAAAGCCCUGUCAGCAGGGAAGAAAAUGACGGUACCUGACCAAGAAGCCCCGGCUAACUACGUGCCAGCAGCCGCGGUAAUACGUAGGGGGCAAGCGUUAUCCGGAUUUACUGGGUGUAAAGGGAGCGUAGACGGCAAGGCAAGUCUGGAGUGAAAGCCCGUGGCUCAACCACGGGACUGCUUUGGAAACUGUGUUGCUGGAGUGCAGGAGGGGUAAGCGGAAUUCCUAGUGUAGCGGUGAAAUGCGUAGAUAUUAGGAGGAAUACUCAUUGCGAAGGCGACCUGCUAGAACAUAACUGACGCUGAUGCGCGAAAGCGUGGGGAGCAAACAGGAUUAGAUACCCCCGUA